UACAGAGGGGGCAAGCGUUGUCCGGAAUCAUUGGGCGUAAAGCGCGUGUAGGCGGCCAGAAAAGUCCGCUGUGAAAACUCGAGGCUCAACUUCGAGCUGUCGGUGGAAACUUUCUGGCUAGAGUCCGGAAGAGGAAAAUGGAAUUCCUGGUGUAGCGGUGAAAUGCGCAGAUAUCAGGAAGAACACCCGUGGCGAAGGCGGUUCUCUGGGACGGUACUGACGCUGAGACGCGAAAGCGUGGGGAGCGAACAGG
rnacentral:rRNA from 1 species